rnacentral:snoRNA from 1 species
UGUGUUCUAAAUCAAGGCUGGUGGCUUGUUGUGGCAACUGGCUUCAAGCAGGUGCCUAUAUUAACUUCUUCCUGUGGUCUGUUGGCUGCUCAUGUUUCCUCUGUGACCCAGCCAAUUCAGUUGGUAGAAACAUAG